GGGAAAAAGUUCAUUCCGAGAUGUAUUAACGACACAUAUAGCCAUUCAAUCAAUCAAAUUUUAUAAUUUAUGUGUCAGUCCACAUAGUCGAAAUUUAUAAAUGCUCACACAUAGUUUUAAUAAUUAAGAAUGAACAUGUUGCGCGCAUGAACUUUGUUGUUAUUGCGCCAUUUUUCUGCAAAAUCAAAAGGAAGCUACGUUUUGGAGAAGUGCAGCCUUAUUUUGCAUGUUCCGUACUAGGUUCCGUAGCAACGCGUAGCAGGCAUCCCAAGUGGGCAACAGAGAAUUGCAACAUUUUCGCCGCUCAUCCCAUCAGGAAAAGUGCCAGGAGAUGCGAUUCUGUAUGGGAAGCAAUUUUCUGGUUCCACGUCAGAAUACACGAGGCAGGGUUCCUGAUUUCCACUUUUCAUCUUCUUCCACAUUCGAAUACAGUCAGCAGCGAACGGUUGUCGCUUUAGUUUGUGUGUUUGCUUGUCUGCGACGACAGCAAACACCGGCGAACGGUGGGAAGCCAUACAUGGAGUUUGAACAUUCGUCCACAUUCGCAUCGCAAGCGAUGGAGAGGUGAUGCGAUUCGUGAAUGAAUUGCGCGUACGAAUAUUUGAAGUUUUCAAAAAAUGUUUAUUAUUUUCUUUGCUAAUCUAGCAUUUCAACAACAAUACACUAAAAACGUAUGCAUUACAUGCAGAAAUUCUCUUCUAGUUAUGAUAAUAGCCGCUUCGAUCGCUCACCAGCAUUCGUCACCAUUCGCCAUUCAUUCAUUCGCUUGCGAUCCAAACUGCGACGAUCGGCCACGAAUAUCCAUGUCAACCAGCUUGCGCAUCGCUUCCCACUGGUGAUGGGGUUGCGUGUUUGAUCACGACUAUCCGUUUGCUGUAUCUUUCUCGAUUCGCUUCGGCAAAGAGGAGUGAAUAUGAAUGGAGUGAGGCGAAUUUACCGAUCCUUGACACGAGGAAAAGGAUGAUCGGCAGCGCUAUAAAUGAAGUCGGCAACAUCUGGGUCGUUUUAUGGGCUCCGCAUCUUCCGCCGGGGUGCACUCCGAGUGUGCUAGCGAAACAUCAACAUGGGAUCACAGCCAAGGUCACAGCUAAGCAGUUUUUUUUGGUAAUUGAACAUGUUAUUGUGAACGUGUUGUGUAUUAUGUGGGGCAUGAAGUAUUAAUAAAAAUUAUGAUGUUUAAAAUCAAAAUUGUGCAUUUGUUUACGUUAUUAAGGAUUGAAAAUGUAUAAUAGAAGCAAAAUCAUUAUUCAAUUCGACAAAUAAAUGGCAUAAGUAUUUAAAUAUUAAAAGUAAUGAUUAUAGAAAAUAAACAUAAUAACAUCCACACAUACUUUCGAUAAGCGUCUGGUUCAUCUGGAGGUAUGUGUACGACACAUAUCAAAUAU